ensembl:lncRNA
GGGGCCAGCUUGACCCCAGCCCUGGACGGGGCCCACAAGGAGACACAAGACAAGAUGGAAUUGGUGGCUUCACCUGUUUGUCAUCGGGGAUCUGAAGUGUCAUGGAAGAAUUUUGAUGACCCAAUCUUUAUGUUAAAUCUAAAUUCAUCUUUAUUUCAAAUGCUGGUUGCUGGAAGACUGAAGAAAGUUGUGUAGAAAGGAAACGUUACUUUUAGUAUGUUUCUGCUCCCGGAUGCUGAGGAUGACUGUGGGGUGGACAUAGGACCAGCAUUUCUGUUUGUAAAGUGGAAUAAUGCCUGCCCCUCCGUGGCUCCCUGGGAAGCCAUGAGAAUGACAUAGGUCAGGCAGGGACUCUGGGCCUCUCAGAUGUUGGGUCCAAGCCAUGUCCCUCUCUUCUCCUCACUCUAGGGGUGAGUGCCUUAGAACAAGGUACUUUAACCAGCAAACCCCCAGAGGUGUGGAAGGGGACCCUGAAGUAAUAGAAUCCACUAGAAUGUCAGCUCCACAAGGGCUGGGAGGCCUAUGUUGGUUUUAUCCCCAGCACCUAGCACCAUGUUUGACAUGUAGUGUGUUCAAAAAUGAUUAUUGAGGCUGGGCAGGUGGCUCACAUCUGUAAUCCCAGCACUUUGGGAGGCCAAGGAGGGUAGAGCACCUCAGGUCAGGAGUUCAAGACCAAUCUGGCCAACAUGGUGAAACCCCAUCUCUACUAAAAAUACAACAAUUAGCCAAGCGCAAUGGCAUACACCUGUAGUCCCAGCUACUCCAGAGGCUGAGACAUGAUAAUUGCUUGAACCUGGGAGGCAGAGGUUCCAGUGAACCCAGAUCGACCCAUGGCACUCCAGCCUGGGCCACAGAGCAAGACCUGUCUCAAAAAAAAAAGAUUGUUGUUGAAGCUGAGCACAUUGGCUCAGGCCUGUAAUCUCCUCACUUUGAGAGGUCAAGGUGGGAGGAUCAAUUGAGGCCAGGAGUUCGAGACCAGCGUGGGCAACAUAGUGGAACCCCAUCUCUACAAAAAAAUUUAAAACUGCCCUAACCCCAAGGCAGCGGCAUGGCAGUCACUGGCCAGGAUCACAGGCGCAGCACUGUGCUCUAUGGUGGCUCCUCACAGCCCUGGUCCAGACUCCCGUGCAGGCGUCUAGCGGGACAUGGCAAACUCAGGCUGCAAGGACGUUCGGGCCCAGAUGAGGAGAGUUUUCUGUACUUCCCCUACGACAGCAACCUGCCAACUGAGAGAUCUACCUCCAAAACCCCUCGGUGGCAUUCUUCUGCGUGGCCCACCUGCAGGCAAGGAGUGGUGGAAUUUAUGUUGUCAUGGCAGUUAAUGUUUCAACUCAAGAAGGAAGAGAAAUAACCUGUCAGCAUUAUCUGAUGACAAAUUACGAGAGUGCUCCCCAUCCCCACAAUAUAAAAAGAUUAUUUGCAUAGGUGCAAAAGAAAAUGGUUUUACCCUGUAGUACAAAAAGAAGUUAAAAGCUGUAGGACCAAAUGACUAUACAGGAAAGGUCUCAGAAGAAACUGAAGAUAUCAUCAAAAAGGAAUCACCAACUCAUUAGAACACAACAGAAUAUAUCUAAGGAUAGUCUGUAUACUAAUAUAAAAUAUUUUUACCACUUGAAAACAGGGAUCUGGAGGAUCUCCAAGUUUGAUGCAUCCUCAACAGUGCUCUGAAGAAAUAUCUCAUGUGGGUGAUUCUUGUUUUCAGACUAUAAAAAUAAACUGGGUUAAAAGUUAGGCAAUGUUAUAAAAGAGGGUGAUUACCCAGCACUUUGGGAGGUUAAGGUGGGCAGAUCAGUUGCGGUGAGGAGUUCAAGACCAGCCUGGCCAACAUGGUGAAACUCCAUCUCUAUGAAAAAUACAAAAAUUAGCCGGGUGGGGUGGCACAUGCCUGUAAUUCCAGCUACUCAGGAGGCUGAGGCAGAAAAGUCACUUGAGGCAGAGGUUGCAGUGAGCUGAGAUGGUACCACUGCACACCAGCCUGUGUGACGUGAGACUCCAUCUCAAAAACAAACAAACAAACAACAAUAACAAAGAGGGCGAUGAGGUCCUGGAAUGUGCGACAAAUGGAUGUGAGUACCCCUUCGGUAAACACUUGAAGCUAUUACUCUCUUGAGUUGAUCUUAAGUAUUUCCUUGUUCUGGCAAAGGACAGAUUUGCAGCUUGCUUGAUGAUGGUACUGGUAAAUUGCUCUUUUGGGGCUGGUACUCAGGGGGCUAAGGUGGGAGGAUGGCUUGAGCUCAGGAAUUCAAAGCUGCAAUGAGCUAUGAAUGCACCACCACACUUCAGCCUGAACGACAGAGGGAGACCCCGUUCUAAAAAAAAAAAAAAAAAAA